GGAGGUAGUGACAAUAAAUCACAAUGCGGGACUAUAAGUCUUGCAAUUGGAUUGAGAACAAUGUACAACUCUUAUCGAUAAGCCAUUGGAGGGCAAGUCUGGUGCCAGCAGCCGCGGUAAUUCCAGCUCCAAUAGCGUAUAUUAACGUUGUUGCAGUUAAAAAGCUCGUAGUUGAAGUGUGGGUGAUCGCUGUUGUGAGACUUCGGUCUCUCGACAGUAAGUCACCCCCUUCCAGUAUCCAGUAGUGGGUAUUCAGUUACUUACUAUUGUGUGUUGGUCGUUUACUGUGAGAAAAUUAGAGUGUUCAAAGCAGGCGUUUGCUUGAAUAGAUUAGCAUGGAAUAAUAAUUGAAGGCUUUCGUGUUCGAUUUGAUUGGUUUGUUCAUGGAAGCAAGGUUAAAAGGAACAGUUGGGGGUAUUCAUAUUCACUAGUUAGAGGUGAAAUUCUCGGAUUUAUGGAAGAUGAACAAGUGCGAAAGCA
rnacentral:rRNA from 1 species